rnacentral:rRNA from 1 species
AGAACGAACGCUGGCGGCAUGCCUAACACAUGCAAGUCGAACGAGACCUUCGGGUCUAGUGGCGCACGGGUGCGUAACGCGUGGAAUCUGCCUUGGUUCGGAAUAACAGUUAGAAAUGACUGCUAAUACCGGAUAAUGUCUUCGGACCAAAGAUUUAUCGCCCAGGGAUGAGCCCGCGUAGGAUUAGCUAGUUGGUGAGGUAAAGGCUCACCAAGGCGACGAUCCUUAGCUGGUCUGAGAGGAUGAUCAGCCACACUGGGACUGAGACACGGCCCAGACUCCUACGGGAGGCAGCAGUGGGGAAUAUUGGACAAUGGGCGAAAGCCUGAUCCAGCAAUGCCGCGUGAGUGAUGAAGGCCUUAGGGUUGUAAAGCUCUUUUACCCGGGAUGAUAAUGACAGUACCCGCAGAAUAAGCCCCGGCUAACUUCGUG